UUAGAUGUCGCUGUAGAUUUAGCAGUACAUUACUGUAAAAAUCCACAGUACUAUACUGUAUGUAUACAUUACAGUACAGUACUGCAGUUCAUAAUGCAUUCUGGGUAAAUUUGUUUGAGCGGGAAAAUUUUACAGUAUAUUUUGGUCUUGAUGUAACCUUGCUGUAGCCAUUGCUGUAAUGUGCCAGGUGUACUUGCAAUAAUCAGAGAAAGUGCGCCAGAGUCAAAUCACACAGAGGGAGAGAGAGCACAACUCCUGGCUGCAGCUGAAGGAGGAUGAUUGAUUUCUGGCAGUUCGUCUUACCAUUGCUUGUAAGCUGGAUUGGGUAAGAUGGAUCAUCUUUAAAGGCACCAGGAGUUAAGGCAGAUGUGGAGGCACAACGGGUGAUACCAGACACACACCAAGCACAUUAUGUUCGGACAUUCAAUCAUGACAGGAUCCAGGUGGAUGCUGUCCAUUAAUGAAAGAGUUUGUUCCGAGGU